GGAAUAUUGGUCAAUGGGCGCAAGCCUGAACCAGCUAUGCCGCGUGCAGGAUGAAGGCCUUCAGGUCGUAAACUGCUUUUAUGCGAGAAAAAUAAGCUUCUGCGGAAGUGAAUGAUGUUAUCGCAUGAAUAAGCACCGGCUAACUCCGUGCCAGCAGCCGCGGUAAGACGGGGGGUGCAAGCGUUAUCCGGAUUUACUGGGUUUAAAGGGUACGUAGGCGGUCUUAUAAGUCAGUGGUGAAAACUAACAGCUCAACUGUUAAAGAGCCAUUGGUACUGUAAGACUUGAGUGUAGCUGAAGUGGGUGGAAUUCUACAUGUAGCGGUGAAAUGCAUAGAUAUGUAGAGGAACACCAAUAACGAAGGUAACUCACUAAGCUACUACUGACGCUGAGGUACGAAAGCGUGGGGAGC
rnacentral:rRNA from 1 species